GGAGGGUGAUAGUGAGGGGAACAUUGCACAACCUUUUAGACGCUGCUUGGCUGACCUGACCCCGGGUGGCAAGAGGUCAUGGACGGUGGGAAGGAGGAGAGGAGAGGAGGGGAAGGAGAGAGAAAGGAGGGAGGGAGGGAAGGAGGGAUAUCGGUACUCUCUCUCCCCUUCCCUCCAUCCCUCCAGCUUCAGACCGGUCCAUGAUGGUGUCAGUCACGCAUGAUAUUUACUGGAGAUCUCUCUCUCUCUCUCUCUCUCUCUCUCUCUCUCUCUCUCUCUCUCUCUCUCUUCUUUAACGCCCCGGGAAAACGUGAGCCGCAAGGAGACAGCAGAGAGACGAAACUGCACCUUUGGGGGAACGAAACGAGGAAAAAGGUGUGUAUGUGUGUGUGUGUGUGUGUGUGUGUGUGUGUGAUAAAAAAAAAAUGGAAUAAAAUAUAAGAUGGAAACGGCCGUGUGUGUGUGUGAGGAGGGAAAGUGUGAGGGAGGGAAAACGGCCAGAAAGUGGGGAGGAAAGAAACGAAGAAAAAGAUAUAAUACGUUUUCUCUUUUACCACCACCACGACACACACACACACACACACAGACACCAGUACAAAUAUAUACAGCACUCCUCCCAUUUCCACUUAUUAACCUUCACCUCUCUCCAAUUUAUCAUCUUUCCCUCUAAUCAUAACAACAUUUCCAGCAGUAUUGCCUCACUUUUUUUUUACCUAUACACAACACACUCCUUGACUCCAACCCUUAAGCCUCUCUUCUUCUCUUCCUAAAUGCUCCCUCUACUCUCUUAUACCUCAUCAAGCUCGAGUCCAGCAAGUUAGUGUCACUCUGAUCCUGCCCACCGCCGCCACCGCCUCCCCCAGUGCCCAUCAGGAGGCCACGAAUGUGCAAUCUAGCGGUAACUGGCAGCUGACGUUAGGUAUAUAAAGGGGGUCGGGUGCCUGCGAGUCUCUGUUGAGUGUCAGUCUUUGGCAAGAAAAAGUGUUCAGCCAUGCGAGGAGCGGUGCUGGUGGUGCUGGCGGCGCUGGCAACAGUGUGUGUGGCCAACAUGAAGCCUAACAUCCGGCGAAUCACCAUCGAGGAGCUGUUAAGCGAGCACCCCGACCUCAAGGAAACCCUCUCUGCAAAGAUCACCAAGCCUGAGACCUCUUCAUCUACCUCGGAAUCCCCUACUACAAGCACCACUACCACUACCACCACCACAACUCCAGCACUCCAGGCUGACUCCCCCACAACCCCCACUGCAGCCACAACUCCCACAGGCAAAAGGGUAAGGGGAAGACAGCCUGGGGCUCGGAGGCGCAGACCGGUGGGAGAAACCUCGACACAGUUUGGUGGGGAGGAGGCGGGCCACCGACUCAGGGUGGUGCCCACACAAGAACCAAAACAGAGAAAUGCAAGGAUGUUCCCCAGGGCACAGUGAGGCCGCUGCUCCCCUGCCGCCGCCACCACACACCCGCCACGGAUGAUACCUCAAGAUGGAAUUGUUUACUAAACAGUCUUGAAGGCUACUGUCACCUGUGGCAAAUUUGUUGACACUACUUAUGACCUUUCAGAGUGCAGUGUGCAUGUCCUAGUAGUAAUUUCAAAUAUUUAAUACACUAAUGAAUACUGUAGAGCAGUUGUUUAUAAUUCUGAGCAGUUAUGCCUAUACCUUCACAUAUAUGCUUUAAGUUAGAACCAACACGCUUGCUGGACAAGAGCAUCAAUGAUCCACUUAAGGUGUCAACUCUCCCUACUGUGUGAACCUUCUGUGUGAAUCCCAGUCUCUUCUGCUGUACUGUAAUUUUCAGCCAUGUAGGUGCUCUGCUCUCCUUUCUCUCUAAGAAAUAGAGCAUCUAAACCUAAAGUUUGUCAUCAAAUUCUAUAAUGUACAAAUAGACUAGCUAUUUAGCUUUGACCACAGGCUAUGUAAAUGUAAAUAUUAACAGAUCAAAAAAUGCA